rnacentral:rRNA from 1 species
GGGGAAUCUUGCGCAAUGGGCGAAAGCCUGACGCAGCGACGCCGCGUGGGGGAAGAAGGCUUUCGGGUUGUAAACCCCUUUCAGGAGGGACGAAGCCACUCGGGUGAAUAGCCCAGAGGGUGACGGUACCUCCAGAAGAAGCCCCGGCUAACUACGUGCCAGCAGCCGCGGUAAUACGUAGGGGGCAAGCGUUGUUCGGAAUUACUGGGCGUAAAGGGCGCGUAGGCUGUGCUGUAAGUCAGGCGUGAAAGGCCCGGGCUCAACCUGGGAAUGGCGCUUGAUACUGCGGCGCUGGAAGGCGGGAGAGGAUGGCGGAAUUCCCAGUGUAGAGGUGAAAUUCGUAGAUAUUGGGAAGAACACCGGUGGCGAAGGCGGCCAUCUGGCCCGCGAUUGACGCUGAGGCGCGAAAGCGUGGGGAGCAAAC